rnacentral:rRNA from 1 species
AUGCCUAGCCGUAAAACCAACUCACACCAAUACACGCCAGGGAAUUACGAGCAUAGCUUAAAACCCAAAGGACUUGACGGUGUCCCAUCCCACUAGAGGAGCCUGUCCUAGAAUCGAUAAUCCCCGCUUAACCUUACCACUUCUCGCUUUAUUCAGCUAGUAUACUUCCGUCGCAAGCUUACCACAUGAGUGUACCAAGUGGGUCUAAUGAUCAUCAUAAAUACGUCAGGUCAAGGUGCAGCAUAAGAAGUGGGCUGAGAUGGGCUACAAUUUCUAAUAUAGAACAAACGAAGUGCCAAAUGAAACACGGCAUGAAGGAGGAUCUAGUAGUAAAAAAAGAAUAGAGUGCUUUUUUAAACAGCGGCACUGGGACGCGUACAAACCGCCCGUCACCCUCCUCAAUAUAUUUAUUUCUGUAAAUAACACCAACUAUAUUGCCAGAGGAGGCAAGUCGUAACACGGUAAGUGUACUGGAAAGUGCACUUGGAUAG